GUUUAUUUUGUGGAGUGCUACGGAAACGACCUUAUUCUUAAAACCUCUUCCAAACAGCAGGUGGCGGUACGGAGCUGCAGGCGAGUCUGUUCCUCGGUCUGUCUACAGAGGAAGAAAUAGACAAUCAGCUGUUCAAACCUGGUGGUUCAAACAGAGAGCGGAGCUAUGAACGAACAGAAAUGGAUUCAGGCAAUAACUCGGUUGCAGGCUCAGUGUCGUGGUUAUGUGAUGUGGAAAGGACUGAGUUUGGUUCGGACUCAGUUUGAAGAGACAGUGCGAGAGAUUGAUGGAGGAUUGGAUCACCUGCAGUGGAGAGGAAACAUAAUUCCCAAACCUCACUUCACUGACACUGAAAGCCUAUUGCUGCAGUAUGAACGCUCCAGGUUUCAGUCCCAUGACCAUCUGGAGAAUCAGGGCAGUGAGAAAUCUCUCCCACCGCCUGAAUCCAGGUACCAGAGAGAGACGAAGCUGCUGAAACAGCCAGCAGAGAUACUUCCACACCCUGUGGAUGGUAUUGUGGACAAGAGAGGAGAGAAUGUGGUCAUACAAAACCUGAUGGAUGAUUCGACUACACUCUGCAGUACCGUGAAUUCAGAUGUCAGCCACAGCAGCUUAUUUCAGACAGGACCAAAUUUGCAUUCAGUUUUUAAAGACACAGAACACACUCUUGACUCUCUGAAGCAGCAGCAGAGCACUUUAGCUAUGGAGCUGCUGUGGAUCCAGCAAGCCAUCAGUAGCAGAAAGAAAUAUUUUAACCUCAAACAGAGAAUGGAUGUGCCACACUGAUACUGGACCAGUUCUGAAGUGGGCCAACAUUUUAAGAGAUGUUUUCUCAUUAUUUCUGUAUUAUUGUAUAAUUUACAGCACAGAAUGUUUGAGAAUUGUCAUAAAUUAUAUUUAUUUAUGAGCUUCUUUUGUCUAUAAACGGGUUUGUGUUAAAGAAGAUUUUUAUUUUUGUAAAAAUGGCAUUUCAGAAAUAAAUAUAAUAUGCAAGUGAUGGAGAUGGAAGAGAGACUAAUUUUUCUGUAUAACACAAAGCCAGUACAGUUCAAUCCUAGAUGGACGUCAAAGGCUCCCACAUCCUUAUCUUACAGUUCGGUCAAUGUAGUGAAAUAGCUAUUUAAUUACUGACUUGUAUUUAGACUGUGUAACCACAUGAGAACUCAUAUAUCACUCGAUAUGAUGUUGCCUGCCCUGG
rnacentral:lncRNA from 1 species